CUUUGAGAGUGAUUGGCACCGAAUGAGCCACUGGGUUGAGGAAUUCACAAGUCAUUCUGGAUAACAGCAGAAUUCGACUGCUGUCUUAAUCGGGCCCUAUGCAUAUCCACGAGUGUCGAAACACAGAUCUACUCUCAUGGAAACAGGCUGUAGGAAGACACAUAAGAUAGAAUUUGGGAGUGAAUCGAUGUGAAUGUAUCUGUUGCAAGUCUACAUGGUGCUGCACCCUUAAAAGAAGCUCGAACUGUGAGCUCACGCCAGAAAAAUUGUGGCGAUUCUCUUUUUUUUUCUUUUUGUUUAUAUAAAUGAAUGGUUGGGGAUCUAGUAAAUGUGAGUAAUUAGUUUUUGGCUACUUACUACACAUUGUACUGGUUUGUGCUGCUUCCUGCUGGGCCAGUGGGACAUCAUGAGUUGUUUCCAUUGGAUGGCUGAAGUGGGUACAAGAGCGACAGUUCUGUUCACUCAGCAAUCAUAACUGCUUCACAGCUCUACAGUCUGCAGCAGAGCGACACAAGCACACAUUCUUUCAGACAACUGGAUUUUGUUUGUCUUCAGAGAUCAAAAUCUUGUCUCUCCGAACAAAGAAGUUUUAAAAUAAGCCGUUUUUCUUUGCUACCUUCAGUACAAUCAAAGGCAGCAGACCCUCGCCCACAUUUUGAAACCUUGCAGUAACCAAAUCUGGAUCAGUUGUCCAAUCGUCACACAGUUUAACCAACAUUGCUAACAAGAAUAAAUGGUUGGACACACUAGAAUUGAAGGCAAAAUUCAGUAAGAAUAUUUCCAAUGAUUGCAGCAAUGUGGAAUCUUGACUUUAUCACACAAUCACGUCUUCUUUGGCAUUGCUGACUUUUUAAGUAACAGGUGUUAGCUCUAUUCAAAAUGGUGGUUUACAGAUUUGGAUAAUGUGACGCAGCUACCUUAGGCAAAUUCAGACCAAGAACUUCUAUAGGCUCUGUUCUAGGGACUACUCACUUGGGGAAUGCAAGGUUCUUUUUUCUGUUUGCAUGUGUACCACCAGUAGGAACUUGGUAGAAAUGUAUGCUUACAUCAUGGAGAGUGGCUAUACGCCCAACCAUUGGGUCACUAAAGUAAAUUCGCGAGCAUAUACGCCCAACCACAACCGACCAAUGAGUGCGCUUGUAAGCUCACUUCUGGUUUCAAUGCGGGAGGGAAAAUAUUUAUUUGCCCAACGGUUGGGUGCAUAGCCUUUGCCUACAUCAUGAAUGGUUCCAAAUGUGCUGGGAGAGUCCCAGGAGCUAAAAAAGACAACAAACAUCAUUCUAAAAACAUCAAUUUUUAAGGGGGGUCUGGGUAAUUGAUGGUACUUCCUUCAACAGUUCUGAGACCUGUGAAAAAGUCAAACUGGUGUAAAAGUACUUCUUGUUAGCUAGCUGUCUCACAUUGUCCAAACGUAUAAUCUCCGCUGGAACACAUCCUAAGUGGUCCUCAGUGGUCAGUAUACAUUGUAGUCAGUAGCAUGAUGAGAAUGCUUAGCUAUCAUUGCUCUAGCUAGCUUGAAAGAUAGUGCAGCCUAUUCACUGUAGUGGCUAACCAAAGCCAGCUAGCUUGGCUAGUUAGUAAAUAGAUGCUCAAAGUCUGAUUAAUUACCCUAAUAUCUGUUCAUCAGGUAUUACACUGUGUAGUUAGUGACAUCACAAAAUAAUUUGUUUUAAUGUUUGGGAUUUCUUCAUGAUAUGUCGAUCCACAGUGACAGAACUCUCAGAACAUUCUAUGUCCCCAAUUCCCAAUGAUUCCUGAAGGUUACUGCUGCAUUUGGCUAAAGAGAAACAAGAGCCAAAAUGUUCAAAAUCACCCACAAUGAAAUGGAAAAGAAAACUACAAUCCAGUUGCGGUCUUGCAAAUAAUUAUUUUUAUGUUUGACUGAUCAGUUGAUUAUUUUCUCGAUUAACUGUUUAGUUGUUUGGGCCAUAAAAUGCCAGAAAAUUGUGAAAAACUAUCAAAUAUCAUAAUUAAGAUAAAAAUGCAAGACAAUGGACCCAGAUCCAUCUAAUCUUGAAGGAAAACUAAAUCAUGGUAUGAGUUUAUAUUGUGUCCGAUUUUAAAAUCAGUGUGUACUGUUUCACAGGUGAUUAAAGGUUAAUAUGUUGAAAAUGGGCUCAAUGACAAGAUGGAAAAUA